GUCAGGCAAGCCCAAGGGACCCAAUUCUGCCUUUUUUCUGGAUUUUCCUAACCUGGCUGGCUUUGACCUUCUGCUCUUCUGUUGUGUGGUGACCCUCACCAGAGGAUAGCUUCAUGCUCUUGGACUUCCCAGCCUCAAGAACUAGAAGAAAUAAAUUUCUUUAUAAGUUGCCCAGUCUGUUGUAUUCGGUUAUAGCAGCAG